UAGGGAAUCUUCCACAAUGGACGAAAGUACUGAUGGAGCAACGCCGCGUGAGUGAAGAAGGGUUUCGGCUCGUAAAACUCUGUUGUUAAAGAAGAACAUAUCUGAGAGUAACUGUUCAGGUAUUGACGGUAUUUAACCAGAAAGCCACGGCUAACCACGUGCCAG
rnacentral:rRNA from 1 species